ACAUACUGAAGGCAUCUUUGACUUCAACAUCGGCUCUAACAAAUGGUCUGCGUCACUUGCUAACUGAUGUUAAGCAAAAGAAAUUAUCAGAAGAGGAAAUCAGAAGAGUAAACAUUUUGGUUUGAUGAUUUUACAAUUCUAGCAUUAUUGUUUAAGAUAUUUAUGUUUUUCCUAGUUCUGAAUCUAGCAAGACUCUUAUCUUUUUGUUGGUAAUAGUGUUGUUUACAUUUCCAGCAUAUCAAAUCACUACUGCAUCCGUUCCCUCAUAGGCUUUGUCUAACAUGCACCACCACAUUAAGUGGUGCAUGAUGCACAAGUUCGUGAUACCAUUAUAAUGAAUUCGAAUUUUAUAAAAUUCACCGUUAGAUUGAAAGUUUGUAUCGUAUAGAUCAUUCUUGUCAAUUUUUAAAAGGAUUGAAAAUUAUUUGAUGUGUCAUUGAGACUCAUCAUGAUUAACGGUAUUUAAUAAAAGCUCAUAAACCGUUAAUCUUGAUGGGUCUCAAUGACAUAUCAAAUAAUUUUCAAUUUUUUUAAAAUUUGACAUGGAUGAUCUAUAUGAUACAAACUUUCAAUCCAACGGUAGAUUUUGUAAAAUUUAUAUUCGUUAUAACAAUAACACUAACUUAUGCACCAUACACCACUUAAUGUGGUUGUGCAUGUUAUGUUUGGCCUCCAUCAUAUUGAACUUGAAUUUCAUUUGUUGAAGUUCAAAUGCCGUGAAUUAUUUUAGUAAAAAAUUAAUAUUUCUUUGCUUAGAGGAAUCCCAUUUUUCUUUCUGUCAAUGCUGGUCCAUUUUAUCUCUUCUGUUGUUGCAGUUGAGCAUUUUUAAGAUACUCAGCAUCAUAUAGAAUAAACAUGAUUAAUUAGUAUAAGAAAAUGUAAAUGUCCUCGUUAUUGU
rnacentral:lncRNA from 1 species